GCCAGGACUGGUCAGGAGCAGAGAGGGGAUCAAUGGAGGAGCUCAGUCAGCUGUGACCGCCGACUGUCAGACACUCGACGGAUGGAUCGGUGCGUCAGCAGGUUCUUAAAACCUCCACUGAAUACGUCCUAGACAUCUUCUGUCAAUAAUAAAGACCUGCCACCAAGAAUUCACAUUGAGCUGCAUCAGUUCCUGCAGUUUAACCUGAAUCGUCAGCGGCAGAUUUACCACCAGAACACCAGCAGCUCAUCUGAAUCGACCGCCCAUCUGUUCGCACCAAAACAUGGCAGAGAGGGGCGGCAAAUAGUUUCCACU